AUUGAACGCUGGCGGCAGGCCUAACACAUGCAAGUCGAGCGAGCGGCGGACGGGUGAGUAAUGUCUGGGAAACUGCCUGAUGGAGGGGGAUAACUACUGGAAACGGUAGCUAAUACCGCAUACCAUCAGAUGUGCCCAGAUGGGAUUAGCUAGUAGGUGGGGUAACGGCCCACCUGGGCGACGAUCCCUAGCUGGUCUGAGAGGAUGACCAGCCUGUCGGGAACUUAGACACGGUCCAGACUCCUGCGGGGGGCAGCAUUGGGGAAGAUUGCACAAUGGGCGCAAGCCUGAUGCAGCCAUGCCGCGUGUGUGAAGAAGGCCUUCGGGUUGUAAAGCACUUUCAGCGGGGAGGCGUUACCCGCGGAGGAAGCACGGGCUAACUCCGUGCCAGCAGCCGCGGUAAUUC
rnacentral:rRNA from 1 species